ACUGAUUUCUCUUGGUGUUUAGAGUCUAUAUAUUUAUCUAGCACCAUUUGAAAUCGGUUA
rnacentral:pre_miRNA from 1 species